UGGACCAAAUGAUGACUGGUGACAAGAAAUGGGUUCUCUAUAAAAAUGUCAAGUGUCAAACACACUGGGUAGGGAAAGGAGUAACAUCGGCACCCUGGGCUGAAAAAGGUCUUCACCCACAUAAGGUGUUGUUAUCUGUUUGGUGAGAUAUGAAGGAUUUAGUCCGCUUUGAACUUUUAAA